rnacentral:lncRNA from 1 species
GAGAGUUAGCAAAGACAUUCCUCGUUGAGCUCAGAUUUGUACGUUUGUGACAUUUCUGCUCCCUGGCAAGGGUCCAGAGAGGAUUGGCUCAGGGAAGGCAUCUUGUGCCACUGCCACCUUUGACUCAGCUGUGUGGGAAUGAAGGGAAGUCUUACUCGGAUAAGGAAGAGUACACCAUUACUGCCCAGUGCCAGCCUGAUGCAGCCAA